AAUCCUAUAAUCUUUUGUUAGAAAGCUCAACUAUUGGUUAUCCCAUCUUUUUUGUCAAAGCAUGUCUAAACCAUGGAACCAACCUUAGUUUGGGUUUUCUUUCCUACAAAACGUUGAACAUAAUGAGGUAAAAAUUUCAUUUACUGAUCCACAUAUCUAAUGAAGCGAAAUUUCCUUCAUUUUUGUCCCAAAACUGAUCUUUACACCGGAGUAGAUAUCAUCCCAAGCAAUUAUCAUCCCAAACCCUUUUUCAAAUCUAUCAAUCGUAUCUUACAGGACCAAAAAAAUUAACUCUCUCCAAAUCUCUGUAAUCGGCUAUUUAUAGGGACUCUGGGUUCGAUCAAACAUCUCUAAUCUCAGUCGGAGAUUCCCGGCUCAGCCGAAAGUCUCUGAUUCGUGGCUUUGAUUCCGAUCGUGGGCUCUGAGAUAUGAGAUUAUGGGAGUCUCCAAGACUGUUUCGCCUGAAGAUUAGAAGAAGAACCAUCGAGAUAAGGGCGGAGUUUCGGGAAAAAGUAUUAAUCUUUAUCUUCUUCAUGAAUCUUUGUUGAUCAAGGGUUUUUCCAGAAUAACCCAAUUGAAAUCGGAGAAGCUCAUCGAGAAGGGAAAAUGGUCCGUACGGUACCUGAAUAUUUCCUCCUUAUAACUUUUAGUACCUGAACUUCAAAAAAUAUCACUACGGUACCUGAGGUUCUUUGCCCGACCAAGGAUUGGUGCAUAUGGCCGUUACCUCCGUUACGGAACUUGCCAACUGUCAAUUUUUGAAGGGUAUUUUCAUCCCUUCAUGUCUAAAUCUUUUUUUUUUUUACUAAAUAUAUUUUCCCUCUCUCUGCAAUAAUAAUAAUAAUAAUAAAUCAUUCUCUUCUUCUUCCUUUAGGACCUUCACCGAAACCAGUGAUUUGAUGAAACUUGUGAAGCAUAAAUUUUAGAUUUGAUUUUCUGGAAAUUUUAUGAAAUUGGAAUGGGGAUUCACUACCAGAAAAUUGAUCAUUUACGACGCACAUUUUACGGCGUGCAUUCAAUGUGCGCCGUAAAUGAGUAUCAAUUACGGCACACUUCUAUGUAGGCCGUAAAUGAUGUAUGAAUUAGUUCAUUUACGGCAUGCUUUUGGAGUCCGCUGUAAAUAUCUCUUGUCAUUCACGGCUUGCACAAUAUGCAGGCCUUAAAUGAGUAAUCUAGAGUCUUUUACGAUGUGUUUGUGAAAACGCCGUAAAAGAGUUCGUGAAUUUUGCGAUUAGCACGGAAAUUUUUAGCUUUUCCCUCCUUCCAGCUUUCCCAAAUGCUAACUCGAUAAGUGAACAUGUUUCUUAAAAAAAAAAAAAAAAAGAACUAAGAUGAGAGAAAAGGCAAGAACGAGCGGCGGAAGACGGUUUGCUCCUAAUCUACAUUGAGAAGAGUUGAAGAGCGGUCGGAUCUACAAGAUUGCAGAAGAAUCGAACUUGCUCAAGACGAUUGCACCGCUAUCCACCGCUAGAUCUAGAAAAGUUCCCAGCAAGAUUGCACAAUUUCAAGAAUGGCCACCGCUUAUUUCUGGGCGGUUGAUUCAAGCAAUUGAUGAGAUGACCCUUUGCAGCCGUGGCUUGAGUGUAUCAAGAUAAGUUCGAUCAUAGUUGGGAAAUUCAGAGGUUGAUAUCCUACAAUAUUUACAAUUCGUGGCCUUUCUUUUCAAUCUAGAGAGAACUAGUCAUAGCAAUUGGUCAGCCUUUUAAAAUCAUGGGGAGAAUCUAAGUAGGGAAGACGUCCAGACUUCAAAUAGAUGCAGAGAGGAGACUUUGUAUUAAGCAACAAAGUGAAACGCCGGAUGCAAUAUCAAGGUCUGAUGUUUGCCUUUGUGCCUAUGAAGCAAAGCAGAAGAAGGGGUCAACUGAGGAAGCUAUGGAUUCAGAAAUAGUGAAACAAGUGAAAAAGUACAAGGAAGAAGAAGAAACAGUUUCUAGACUGUCUUCUAUAAAGAAUGAUGCUGUUGCAAAAGUACUUGGUCCAGAUCCACGAGGACGAGUAAGAGGGUAUGGGUUCGGUGCACUACCUUCAAAAGUCGAUGCUCAAUCACAUGUAAGUAAUAAAGUCACAAUGUUAGAGAAUGCUCUUGCUACUCAAACACAAGUGGUAGACAAAUUGCAAGAGAUGGUGAGAGGCCUUUGUGCUCGGCUAGACCAAGGAGGAAAUAACAAUGAACACACUAUUGCACAACAAUCUGCUACUGAGAUUGGAAAUAGAAAACGUAAAGAAAAUCCAAGUGUUACAAAUACUGGUAGUGAUAUAGCACAGAGCAAACAGAAAGAUGCAAGUGUUAGAAGUUCUUAUAAUGAGACAGAAAAUGGCAGCCCAAUGCAGCAAAGUUUUAAUGGAAAGAAACAACUUUCUGGAUUAGUUAACCCAAAAAUAGUCCACAAGACAGAUUUGGGGAAAUAAGUGCAGUUGUUAAGUUGGUUUGCUAAAGAAGAAGAUCAAAAGAUCCACAAGUUGAGGUGCAUCAUGUUCCUCUUGGCCAUGAUUGUUGGAAAGUAUCGGUGCAUAAAGUUUUUCAUGAUAUAGCCUUGUAUCGCCCAACAAGCGAGUUUAGUAAACUUUAUGCAUCCACAGGAAGUAUGAUUGCAUGGCCUAUCAAGUACAUCAAAGUGAAUUAGGCAUUUUGGAGGUAAAAGUUGGCAUCAAACAUAAUAUGAAGAUGUUCAAGAGGCCACAGCAUAGAUCACUAUAGAUUUAUCUUUUGCAAUUAACAAAGACAAUUCUAAUCUAAGGUGGUCUCUAAUAAUCUAGAAUGUUUUAUAUUUUAGCAUGGUGAUGAUAGACUGUUGGUUUAAUUAAGUUGUUUUUAUAUAGUACUAGUGUU